rnacentral:rRNA from 1 species
GACGAACGCUGGCGGCGUGCUUAACACAUGCAAGUCGAGGGUAGCAAUACACUGGCGCAAGGGUGCGUAACGCGUAGAUUAUCUGCCCCAUACACUAACAUAACGCUUGGAAACGGGUGCUAAUAUUAGAUGAGGUGCUUCGGCAUCAAAGUUUCGACGGUAUGGGAUGAGUCUGCGUCUGAUUAGCUAGUUGGUAGUGUAAUGGACUACCAAGGCGACGAUCAGUAGCUGGUCUGAGAGGACGAUCAGCCACACUGGAACUGAGACACGGUCCAGACUCCUACGGGAGGCAGCAGUGAGGAAUUUUGCGCAAUGGACGAAAGUCUGACGCAGCGACGCCGCGUGUGGGAUGAAGGGGCUACGGCCCUGUAAACCACUGUUAGAUGUGAAAAAAAGAUGGCUUUGCCGUCCGGGAUUGUAACAUCAAAG